rnacentral:rRNA from 1 species
AGAAACCAACAGGGAUUGCCCUAGUAACGGCGAGUGAAGCGGCAACAGCUCAAAUUUGAAAUCUGGCCCUCGGGUCCGAGUUGUAAUUUGUAGAGGAUGUUUUUGGUGAGGUACCUUCCGAGUUCCCUGGAACGGGACGCCAUAGAGGGUGAGAGCCCCGUCUGGUUGGAUACCGAUCCUCUGUAAAACUCCUUCAACGAGUCGAGUAGUUUGGGAAUGCUGCUCUAAAUGGGAGGUAUAUGUCUUCUAAAGCUAAAUAUUGGCCAGAGACCGAUAGCGCACAAGUAGAGUGAUCGAAAGAUGAAAAGCACUUUGAAAAGAGAGUUAAAAAGUACGUGAAAUUGUUGAAAGGGAAGCGCUUAUGACCAGACUUGGACUUGGUUGAUCAUCCUGGGUUCUCCCUGGUGCACUCUUCCAGUUCAGGCCAGCAUCAGUUCAUCGCGGGGGAUAAAGGCUUCGGGAAUGUGGCUCCUCCGGGAGUGUUAUAACCCGUUGUGUAAUACCCUGCUUUGGACUGAGGUUCGCGCAUCUGCAAGGAUGCUGGCGUAAUGGUCAUCAGCGACCCGUCUUGAAACACGGACCAAGGAGUCGUCUUCGUAUGCGAGUGUUCGGGUGUUAAACCCCUACGCGUAAUGAAAGUGAACGCAGGUGAGAGCUUCGGCGCAUCAUCGACCGAUCCUGAUGUUCUCGGAUGGAUUUGAGUAAGAGCAUACGGGGCCGGACCCGAAAGAAGGUGAACUAUGCCUGUAUAGGGUGAAGCCAGAGGAAACUCUGGUGGAGGCUCGCAGCGGUUCUGACGUGCAAAUCGAUCGUCAAAUAUGGGCAUGGGGCGAAAGACUAA